GUGGGGUGCCUGAAUGCUCAAGGACAUAUCAUAAAUUCACUGCUCUCAAAGCACAUAUGUAUAUAGAGAUUACAAAGCUGAGGUGCCUGUGUUGAAAAUGUGUCAACAAUCGUACAAGCUUGAAAUCACAUAUUCAAUAGACUGGAAAUUCAUUGUCCAUUUAAAAGAUGUGCUGUAAAGCCUGUAUUAGUACCCAGAUUUGCAUCCCACGUUUCCAGGAAGCACAGAAACAAUGGUGUGGAACAUCUAGAAGACUGUUUUUUUUGAAAGACCUGUAGGGUGCCAGGAUCAGUCAAGUGGUCCAGAGACUAGCAAUUUUGAUGAUCCAAAAGAGGUUUAUUCUGUUGAUGAAAAUAUCUUUUUAUAGAACAUUAAACUCUUUUAUCUAAAACUACAAGCUAAAUUAUUAUUGCUUGAUUGUACUCUUCAGAAUGUCCAUGACAUUGGUCUGGAACAUUUACUUAAGAAAUUAAUUGAUAAUUUGACUGUUGUAAGAAACAUUAUAGAGGAACUUAAAAAGGAGGAUCUCCUUAAGGCCUGUAAUACUAGAAUUUUGAGCACUAUUCAAAAAUGUAGAACCUGUGUCCAUAUUACUUGGCAUUGAGGACAGUGGUAGAGAAUGUUUUGCUCAGUACCCCUCGGCUAAUUGUGCAAGGUGCUGGUGAGAUUUCUUCUGUGAUCUUAUCAAAUGAUAUAUUAGUUUUAAUUAGCAAAAUCAUUAGAGAAUUUUUCACGGGGUAUUUAUGUGGUCAUGCAUUAACCAUUGCUCAUUAUUCUAUAUAUAUGUACAAUUAUUUCAGGAGAGAUGUUGAAAUCAAGUGCCUGGAUGUUAGCUGUUGAAGGCCGAGUUGUGAUUGGGCCACAUGAUACCAUAGUGAAUGGGAUAGCUGUGCUUAUGCAGUGCCCAAUGGAGGCAUCGUCUACCUUAGAGUUCAUUCGAAGAGGCCUGGUUGGUAUCAACCCUGAGAUGGGCUCCAAGGUGGCUGCUGGGAAAGUACUGAGAAGAAAGUCUGGGCAAGUGGUGAAAAGAAAGAGUGUGACCAUGAAUCCACAUGUGUGCACCUUGUUGUGGAAACUGAUGAACUGUGACUGGUUGGAAAUGUAGCAGGACUUUGCAUAUGGUGCAGCUCUGUGUGGAGUUAGUUAAUUCAUCAAACACACCUCAGUUUUCUGUUGAAGUCCUAAAACAAAUAGGCAAAGGCACUUGCACUGUAAACUGUCCUUUUUUCUUCUAAGUUAUUUUUCACGGCUGUUUAAUGCUGGGGUACACAUGUAUUUUAUGUUUAGGCACUGCCAUUUGAUGCAGGGGUAUGCGAUGUUUGUGUAUUGUCAUAAUACUUAAAGCUGUCUGUUAUUAUGUUUGCAAAUAAAAGUUAAAAAUCUGUAA